AUAAUGGUACUUCCGUCUAGUCAUAAAGCCGAGCGUGAUAAUACCGUCGCAGCAAAUGAGGGCGGCCCGCAGAGAUCCUGGGGGAGAUGAAAUUUCUAUGG
rnacentral:ncRNA from 1 species